rnacentral:rRNA from 1 species
GACAGAGGGUGCAAACGUUGCUCGGAAUUACUGGGCGUAAAGCGCGUGUAGGCGGACCAUCAAGUCGGACGUGAAAGCCCUGAGCUCAACUCAGGAACUGCAUCCGAAACUGACGGUCUGGAGUGGUGGAGAGGAAAGCAGAAUUCCUGGUGUAGAGGUGAAAUUCGUAGAUAUCAGGAGGAACACCGGUGGCGAAGGCGGCUUUCUGGACACUUACUGACGCUGAGACGCGAAAGCGUGGGGAGCAAACAGG